rnacentral:rRNA from 1 species
UUUUUAUGGAGAGUUUGAUCCUGGCUCAGGAUGAACGCUGGCGGCGUGCCUAAUACAUGCAAGUCGAGCGAACAGACGAGGAGCUUGCUCCUCUGACGUUAGCGGCGGACGGGUGAGUAACACGUGGAUAACCUACCUAUAAGACUGGGAUAACUUCGGGAAACCGGAGCUAAUACCGGAUAAUAUAUUAAACCGCAUGGUUC